CCUGCCCCGGAGCCCACGCCCGGGCCAAGCUUGGAGCCACCCCUGGGCGCUGGAGGGCAUCUAGUCCAACCCCGCCUAUUUUAAAGGGGAAAGGAAGCCAAGGUUAAAAAAGUAUUUGUUUAGUGUAUACCAUGUGUCAAGUACUGCUCUACACACUACAAUAAUGAGUGAUCUGAAGAGAAGGAAGAAGCAAAAAGAAGGAGAGGAUGCAAAAGGAGAGAAGGAAGGCCAGUUGACAAGAAAAAUAAAGUAUAAAGAUUGUUUUUUAAGUAGAGAAGACAAGGCAAGAAUAAAUAAGACAAAAUAUGCUAUUUGAAA